GACGAACCGUGCAAACGUUGUUCGGAUUCACUGGGCUUAAAGGGCGCGUAGGCGGCUUGCCAAGUCAGGGGUGAAAUCUUUCGGCUUAACCGGAAAAGUGCUUCUGAUACUGGCGGGCUGGAGGGAGGUAGGGGCAGAUGGAACUUCCGGUGGAGCGGUGAAAUGCGUAGAUAUCGGAAGGAACGCCGGUGGCGAAAGCGAUCUGCUGGACCUCUUCUGACGCUGAGGCGCGAAAGCCAGGGGAGCAAACGGG
rnacentral:rRNA from 1 species